UACGAAGGUCCCGAGCGUUAUCCGGAUUUAUUGGGUUUAAAGGGUGCGUAGGCGGGUUAUUAAGUCAGUGGUGAAAGCCUACAGCUUAACUGUAGAAUUGCCAUUGAUACUGAUGAUCUUGAGUAUGAUUGAGGUGGGCGGAAUGUGUCAUGUAGCGGUGAAAUGCUUAGAUAUGACACAGAACACCGAUUGCGAAGGCAGCUCACUAAGUCAUAACGGACGCUGAUGCACGAAAGCGUGGGGAGCAAACAGG
rnacentral:rRNA from 1 species